CGAGAGAUAGACAAUGAACCCGCAAGAUUAUAAGAAAAUGAUAAUGAUUACUCAAUAACUUCUUAGAACAAAAGUAGAAUACAACCUUUGCUUACCCCAAUAUGGUAUUCCAGGUUGUAGAGGUACAGCUCGGGAAGCGGGCAACACUUCGGCCCUUCCGCCCAGUGCAACUAGGGGAACGGACCGGGUGCUUACUACUUCUCUUACUCUACACUCUAACUCACUCUCAUAUUCUAUUCCUAACUAGAGGUUAAGGAUAUGAGUGGAAGCUCCGCCUCUCUACUACUACUACUCUUGUAUCUCUCUUUAUUCUUGUGGACUUGAAGCUUGAAUGGAUUGAGUAAUGAUGAAUGAGACGCCCUCUCCCCCUCCUUAUAUAGGUGUGGAAGGUCGGUUUGGGAGGGGGUAAACUGCAAAAUGCAGCCGGGAACCGCGCUAGGGCUUCUCAUGCACCGCCUCUGCAAAAGGCGGUGGGGAGCUGGGCC
rnacentral:lncRNA from 1 species